AAUUUCCAUCACUGAAUUCUUUGCAGAGGGGAAGCUGAUGCCUGGGUGCUAAGUAACUGGGCAGAGGAUUAUGGGUAGCUGCACAAUGAUGCUGAAUUGGGAAAGCCUAUUUUGAGAUAGCCUGCUUUGGGCAAGAAUCCUGUCUCUGAAAACUGUUCAGUGUUUGACCCAGGGCAGUUUAAAUAAGCAAUCCCAGGCUCACCCGUAAAGUAGGAAUAAUAAUUACCUUGAAGGGAUAUUUCAGGAGUAAAGGAGUUAACGUCGGGAGACCUUUGGCACUUAGAGACACUUAGUACAUGAUAGCCGAUAUGCUGUUAAUGCUAACAUGUUAAUAAUAAUAAUAAUUAAUAUGAUAGCCAAAUUAGAAGAGAAGUUUGGGGCGUCAAGUCCAGUCUUGUUCCACCUGCCAUUUUAUAUCCCAGCCCAACCCACAUAAUACGAGCUACUUUCUUUGGUCUCUACUUGAAUAUCUCUGGCCAAUUGUCUUCCAAGGGAUCCCAUCGUUGUGCCACCACUAUACCAACCACUUGCCGACUUCAUGCUCUGUGGCAGUCCCCAUGCUGAGCACCGUUCCUUCUCUGCCUCAUUCAGUUGUCGCAACCACCCAACAAAAUCUUAGCACAACUUGAUAUGGACUGAAAAUUGGGAGAAUGAUCACUGCUCAGCAAAUAUUCAUCCCCCACAUCCAUGGGAACAGUACACUUCCCGCUAAUGUUGGGCUUGUUCCUAUAACUUGCUUUGGCUAAAGGAAUAUGGGCAGAAGUGAAAAUGUACCAUUUCCCAAGUGAGGCCUUAAGAGAUAUCACAUGUUUGUGCUUGCUUCUCCCCCAUUCUGAGAAGAACAUGCUCCAGGAAGCUGCUGCCCCCCUCCAGCCUGGGCCCCAGAAUGAGGCAGGUGGAGCAGAGCCAUUCCACAGUCUUCUGGCCUGUGAUGGAUGAAUAAACGCUUAUGAU